rnacentral:rRNA from 1 species
GGUAGCAAUACACCGGCGUACGGGUGCGUAACGCGUAUGCCUUUUAGGGUAAUCUGGGGGAUAACUCGGGGAAACUCGAGCUAGUACCGCAUAAGAAAGUAAAGUGGCAUCACUUAGCUUUUAAAGAUUUAUCGGAUUAAGAUGGGCAUGCGUAGGAUUAGAUAGUUGGCGAGGUAACGGCUCACCGAGUCUUCGAUCCUUAGGGGCUCUGAGAGGAGAAUCCCCCACACUGGCACUGAGAUACGGGCCAGACUCCUACGGGAGGCAGCAGUAGGGAAUAUUGGGCAAUGGGCGAAAGCCUGACCCAGCCACGCCGCGUGCAGGAAGACAGCCCUCUGGGUUGUAAACUGCUUUUAACUGGGAAGAAAAGAGCCUAUGCGUAGGAAGUUGACGGUACCAGUUGAAUAAGCCACGGCUAACUACGUGCCAGCAGCCGCGGUAAUACGUAGGUGGCAAGCGUUAUCCGGAUUUAUUGGGUUUAAAGGGAGCGUAGGCGGCUUAAUAAGUCAGUGGUUAAAGGUAGCAGCUUAACUGUUUUACGUGCCACUGAUACUGUUAAGCUUGAGUUGACAGAAGGCAGAUAGAAUUUCU